UACAGAGGGUGCGAGCGUUGUUCGGAAUUACUGGGCGUAAAGCGUGCGCAGGCGGCUUCUCAAGUCAGGGGUGAAAGCCCAGAGCUCAACUCUGGAAUUGCCUUUAAGACUGCAUCGCUAGAAUUGUGGAGAGGUAAGUGGAAUUCCGAGUGUAGAGGUGAAAUUCGUAGAUAUUCGGAAGAACACCAGUGUCGAAGGCGACUUACUGGACACAUAUUGACGCUGAGACGCGAAAGCGUGGGGAGCGAACAGG
rnacentral:rRNA from 1 species